UAGCUCCAACUUCAGAUGAAUUCAGCUGCUCGGUGACCGUUGUCACCGCCGUGCCUGUGAGGCUGGAUGCCGCAAGCUCCGGGGUAGACGUCUGCUGGCCUACCGUACAAGCAGCCAUUCCUGCUAUACAUAAAAAUAUCAACAUCCAUGUUGAGAGAACUUGUGAUUCCAGUCGACCGCAAAAUUCAAUUGGUUCGCUCCUCGACGUCAUGAUUGCUGUUACAAGAAGAUGAGGCAGGAUCGAAAACUUGACCAGUCAAGAAAAUAGAUUCUCUCUUGAAAGUGCAAAAUGUUUUCCAUCGUUAUUCGUUGUCUCGAUUUCAGAUGAGCUAGGCCUACACCGGUACUGCGGUAGCGCAGCAGCUCGAACUGAUGUGCGCCGAGCGAGAUGGAUUUCGGGUCUGCAAUUCGACCUUUCUGGUUUCAAAUUAAAGUUUUAUUGCAGGCGCAGAAUUCAGAACAAAAAUAAAAUACGAAUGUGAAGAUCAAUUGAAGAUAACCUGUAGCUGGGCUGCUGUGUUGACAUGUCAACAAACAAGCGAACAAUCCGAGAUUUUAGGCCCUGA